rnacentral:rRNA from 1 species
GACGAACGCUGGCGGCGUGCUUAACACAUGCAAGUCGAGCGAUGAAUUUUCUUCGGAAAUGGAUUAGCGGCGAACGGGUGAGGAACACGUGAAGAAUCUGCCCUCCACUUUGGGAUAACACAGGGAAACCUGUGCUAAUACCGAAUAUUGAAACAUAAGUGGCAUCACUGAGUUUUGAAAGAAUUUCGGUGGAGGAUGACUUCGCGGCCUAUCAGCUAGUUGGUGAGGUAAUGGCUCACCAAGGCAACGACGGGUAGCCGGCCUGAGAGGGCGACCGGCCACACUGGGACUGAGACACGGCCCAGACUCCUACGGGAGGCAGCAGUGGGGAAUAUUGGGCAAUGGAGGAAACUCUGACUCAGCGACGCCGCGUGCGGGAUGAAGGCCUUCGGGUUGUAAACCGCUUUCAGUAGGGAAGAAGCGAAAGUGACGGUACCUACAAAAGAAGCACCGGCUAACUAUGUGCCAGCAGCCGCGGUAA